CUGCUUUAACACCACUUGAGUCAAAGGUUAUUUCUAUCAUUCCCAGAGUUGCCUGCUAUGGAAUUACUGGUGGUAUUGACACCGACAGUGCAUUAGUGUCCUCUGUACAGAUG